GAUGAAGAACGUAGCGAAAUGCGAUAAGUAAUGUGAAUUGCAGAAUUCAGUGAAUCAUCGAAUCUUUGAACGCACAUUGCGCCCUCUGGUAUUCCGGGGGGCAUGCCUGUUCGAGCGUCAUUACAACCAUCAAGCUUUGCUUGGUAUUGGACAUUGCCAGUUUCUGGCAGGUCUUAAAAUCAGUGGCGGUGCCAUUUGGCUUCAAGCGUAGUAAUUCUUCUCGCUUUGGAGAUCCAGGUGGUUACUUGCCAAUAACCCCCAAUUUUUUCAGGUUGACCUCGGAUCAGGUAGGGAUACCCGCUGAACUUAAGCAUAUCAAUAAGCGGAGGA
rnacentral:misc_RNA from 1 species